rnacentral:rRNA from 1 species
UACGGGGGUGGCAAGCGUUACUCGGAAUUAUUGGGUGUAAAGGGCAAGUAGGUGGCUUGGUAAGUGAGGGGUGAAAUACUCCGGCUCAAUCGGAGAACUGCCUUUCAUACUGCCUUGCUUGAGGAUGACAGGGGGAAAUGGAAUUCCAGGUGUAAGGGUGAAAUCUGUAGAUAUCUGGAAGAACACCAGCGGCGAAGGCGAUUUCCUGGGUCACUCCUGACACUAAAUUGCGAAAGCUAGGGGAGCAAACAGAAUUAGAUACUCUGGUAGUCCUAGCCGUAAACGAUGAGCACUAGGUGUUGGCUCCGUUAGGAGUCAGUGCCGCAGCUAACGCAUUAAGUGCUCCACCUGAGGACUACGGUCGCAAGGCUAAA